rnacentral:rRNA from 1 species
UAGGGAAUCUUCCGCAAUGGACGAAAGUCUGACGGAGCAACGCCGCGUGAGCGAAGAAGGUCUUCGGAUCGUAAAGCUCUGUUGUUAGGGAAGAACAAGUAUCGUUCGAAUAGGGCGGUACCUUGACGGUACCUAACCAGAAAGCCACGGCUAACUACGUGCCAGCAGCCGCGGUAAUACGUAGGUGGCAAGCGUUAUCCGGAAUUAUUGGGCGUAAAGCGCGCGCAGGCGGUCCUUUAAGUCUGAUGUGAAAGCCCACGGCUCAACCGUGGAGGGUCAUUGGAAACUGGGGGACUUGAGUGCAGAAGAGGAGAGCGGAAUUCCACGUGUAGCGGUGAAAUGCGUAGAGAUGUGGAGGAACACCAGUGGCGAAGGCGGCUCUCUGGUCUGUAACUGACGCUGAGGCGCGAAAGCGUGGGGAGCGAACAGGAUUAGAUACCCCGGUAGUCC